GAAGUGAGUGAGAAAGUGGGUGAAAUAGGCAAAGGGGAUUAAGGGUAUACUCGUGGGGGUGCCUGGGU